rnacentral:misc_RNA from 1 species
GAAAUGCGAUAAGUAAUGUGAAUUGCAGAAUUCAGUGAAUCAUCGAAUCUUUGAACGCACAUUGCGCCCGCCAGUAUUCUGGCGGGCAUGCCUGUUCGAGCGUCAUUUCAACCAUCAAGCCCCCGGCUUGUGUUGGGGACCUGCGGCUGCCCGCAGGCCCUGAAAAACAGUGGCGGGCUCGCUGUCACACCGAGCGUAGUAGCAUACAUUCUCGCUCAGGGCGUGCUGCGGGUUCCGGCCGUUAAACGACCUUCAUAACCCAAGGUUGACCUCGGAUCAGGUAGGAAGACCCGCUGGACUUAAGC